rnacentral:rRNA from 1 species
AUUGAACGCUGGCGGCAGGCCUAUCACAUGCAAGUCGAGCGGAUGAAGGGAGCUUGCUCCUGGAUUCAGCGGCGGACGGGUGAGUAAUGCCUAGGAAUCUGCCUGGUAGUGGGGGAUAACGUCCGGAAACGGGCGCUAAUACCGCAUACGUCCUGAGGGAGAAAGUGGGGGAUCUUCGGACCUCACGCUAUCAGAUGAGCCUAGGUCGGAUUAGCUAGUUGGUGGGGUAAAGGCCUACCAAGGCGACGAUCCGUAACUGGUCUGAGAGGAUGAUCAGUCACACUGGAACUGAGACACGGUCCAGACUCCUACGGGAGGCAGCAGUGGGGAAUAUUGGACAAUGGGCGAAAGCCUGAUGCAGCGGUGCCGCGUGUGUGAAGAAGGUCUUCGGAUUGUAAAGCACUUUAAGUUGGGAGGAAGGGCAGUAAGUUAAUACCUUGCUGUUUUGACGUUACCAACAGAAUAAGCACCGGCUAACUUCGUG